GACGAACGCUGGCGGCGUGCUUAACACAUGCAAGUCGAACGGUGAAGCGCCUUCCUUUUUGGUGGGUGUGGAUGAGUGGCGAACGGGUGAGUAACACGUGAGUAACCUGCCCCCUUCUUCUGGAUAACCGCAUGAAAGUGUGGCUAAUACGGGAUAUUCUGGGUCUGUCGCAUGAUGGGUCUGGGAAAGAUAUUGUUUCGGUGGGGGAUGGGCUCGCGGCCUAUCAGCUUGUUGGUGGGGUGAUGGCCUACCAAGGCGGUGACGGGUAGCCGGCCUGAGAGGGCGGACGGUCACACUGGGACUGAGACACGGCCCAGACUCCUACGGGAGGCAGCAGGGGGGAAUAUUGCACAAUGGGCGCAAGCCUGAUGCAGCGACGCCGCGUGAGGGAUGGAGGCCUUCGGGUUGUGAACCUCUUUCGCCAGUGAAGCAGGCCUGCCUCGUUUGUGGGUGGGUUGACGGUAGCUGGAUAAGAAGCGCCGGCUAACUACGUG
rnacentral:rRNA from 1 species